rnacentral:lncRNA from 1 species
CCAGGUCUUGACAUAGAUACAGAUAACAUACACGCCCAGAUGAUGUCACAAUCAGCUGUAUCUAAACAGAGCAGAGCUCAGGUGACAUCACAGAACAGGCAGAGGCAGUUCAGGGGUAUUCUGGUUGCCUUACCCAGCUCUGAAGUCUGUCAGCCUCUUCAGAUGUCACUUGCCAUGUGGUAAGGAAGUGUAGUCAGCAGCUGGUGCAGUGGGAAGAAGAGAAAGGAAGUUCCCCAAGACAAAAACAUCUCGGCAGACCGUGAUCAUGGGCUACAUUCUCCGUACCAGCUUCAUAGCUCCAGUGAGAAAAUAAAUUCCUGCAUCCAGGAGAUGUGGAGUAAGAGAUACAGCUGCCCUUGACCAUAUUUCUUACUUCCGAGAAGAUCGUAGCAGUAAUUCAGAAUCUCAUCCAGGAUACCUCAUCACAGGCUGGAGUGCAGUGUCAUGAGCUUGGCUCACUACAGCCUCCAUCUUCUGUGCUUAAGGAUCCUUCCCUCUCAACCUCCAAGGUAGCUGAGACUACAGGCAACAUUCGAAACCCAGGUGCCACUCCUUCAGGAAGGUACCAUCAAGCUCCAAGGACUCAUCCUCUUUCUCCUUCCCCACUACCUAGUCAUUAGAGCGUCAGCAUCCACUUCCUGAAAGGAAGAUGCCUGUUUUUCACAUAUCCCAGAAAGCCUCAUUUUAGGACAGCAUUUAGCAGAGUGUAUUCAGGAUCCCACUAACCUUUUCGGAAGACAUGACUUCCAGAUGAUAUAAGGCUCCAUCAGGAACUGUGCAGGACUGUGCACUCUGUUGAUACUCACAUGGUGGAAUUAUAUUGCCCUUGGCCAACCCUAAAGCCAUCAAGAUAGCAGGUUUGGAAUAAUUCACUGUCGAAGUCUUCUUGAGCUGAGCAGUCAUGUGAGCUUGGAAGAUGAUCCCUCUCCAGCUGAUCCUUCAGCUCAGGCCAUCAUCUACAUCUGGAUUCCUGACCCGGAGAAACUAUGAGUAAUGUGUGCUGCUUUUGAGCCACUAAGCUACAUGAAUUAAUGAAGGAUCAUUAUUAAGUUUUUAAUGGGUCAAGAGAAAGUUACCACUGAGGUCUUCUCUACCUGGGCAACAAUUGACUCCUAACAACCACUAUAAGCUUGGAAGAUGAUCCCUCCCCAGCUGAUCCUUCAGGUCAGAUUUUUCACAGAGCCAUAGAUAUCUUAUCAUCCUCUGUGGCUUGAAGACUAAUGGCAAUAAAACAUUUCUCAAUAAAGGAGGCUAUACCAUUGUCUGUGUGAUUUCCACUUUCCCUGUUGACACUUAUUCUGCCAGUUUUGAUGUAGGUCAUCUUGCCAGAAGAUGAAAGCAGAUUUCAGGUGAAGUUCAUACAUGUGUAGACAUUAAAAACUGUCAAGGCUACUACCAGGCUAACAGCAAUUGUAAAACUUGAAAACAAAACAUGAUUAAAAUAGGUAAAAUGCAAUAAAUAAUAAAGAUUUGAAAAUAUUUAUUCAGAGAGACAAAUUGAUAGAACUGAAACUUGGAACACAAAAAUACUUUAUUUUGUCAAAGAGGGUAAUGCUGUCUGUAGGGAUAGUACAAGUGCAGAUGUAGAAGUAGCCUGGCCCAUGAGAGGGCUAAGAGGCUGGAGAAGA